CGCCUCUUGACCAAAUAUAAGAGGUCCAGCCUGCCCAGUGAUAACAUUCAACGGCCGCGGUACCCUAACCGUGCAAAGGUAGCACAAUCACUUGUUCCAUAAAUAGGGACUAGUAUGAACGGCACCACGAAGACUAUACUGUCUCCCCCACCCAAUCAGUGAAACUGAUCUCCCCGUGAAGAAGCGAGGAUUAACAUAUAAGACGAGAAGACCCCAUGGAGCUUCAAACCAAGCACCACCUGUUAAAUAUAUAUCACAAAAACCUACCAGACCUGACUGCCUGUUUUUGGUUGGGGUGACCGCGGAGUAAAACACAACCUCCACAAUGAAUGGGCCUAACCCCCUAAUUAAAGACCCACAACUCAACAAAUCAACAUAUUGACAUAACUGACCCAAACCUAUUGAUCAAUGAACCUAGUUACCCUGGGGAUAACAGCGCAAUCCAUUUAAAGAGCCCCUAUCGACAAAUGGGUUUACGACCUCGAUGUUGGAUCAGGGUGUCCCAGUGGUGCAGCCGCUACUAAAGGUUCGUUUGUUCAACGAUUAAAACCC
rnacentral:rRNA from 1 species